rnacentral:rRNA from 1 species
CCUACGGGGGGCAGCAGUGGGGAAUAUUGCGCAAUGGGCGAAAGCCUGACGCAGCGACGCCGCGUGAGGGAUGAAGGUCUUCGGAUCGUAAACCUCUGUCAGCAGGGAAGAACGGUCACUGUGCUAAUCAGCAGUGAAUUGACGGUACCUGCAAAGGAAGCACCGGCUAACUCCGUGCCAGCAGCCGCGGUAAUACGGAGGGUGCGAGCGUUAAUCGGAAUUACUGGGCGUAAAGCGCUCGUAGGCGGUAUGUCAAGUCAAGGGUGAAAUCCCCGCGCUCAACGUGGGAACUGCCUUUGAAACUGGCAAACUGGAGUGGAAGAGAAGUAUGCGGAAUGCGUGGUGUAGCGGUGAAAUGCAUAGAUAUCACGCAGAACCCCGAUUGCGAAGGCAGCAUGCCGGCUUCCGACUGACGCUGAAGCACGAAAGCGUGGGGAUCGAACAGGAUUAGAUACCCUUGUAGUC